rnacentral:tRNA from 2 species
ACAGCCGCGGCCGAGAGGUUAAGGCGACAGUCUAGAAAUCCAUUGGGGUCUCCCCGCACAGGUUCGAAUCCUGUCGACUGCG